CCCAAGCACUUGGCUAUGGAAACGCCUCUCUCUUCUUUUAUCAAAAGUUGUAUGGUCUAUCCCUUCUAUUCCAUUUCAUUAUUUCCCAUUUACUCCUCAUUCCAAUGAAAUAUGGCUGCUUACUUGGCCACUAUUAUGGAAUUAAACUCAGACAAGAGUGUAGUCAAGAAACUCACUGGGCAUUCUCCAACUCAAAUAAUUUGCAACAAAUGAGCCCACUUUUCUGAAGUCCUACUGGUCUUGUGACACAACAUUUUCUUCAUUUCUCUGGCUCUUUUUCCUUCUGUGGGGGCUUCUCAUUUUUUUCUCCACUCCUCCAAUGAUGGUGAUUCACUAGGUUCCUCGCUUGACUCACAUGUCUCCUAACUCUACAUACAUAAUCACUUCAGUAAGACUUCACUUUUAGUCGUGGGACUACUAUGAUGAUGAUGCUUUAAUUUUAUCUCAUUACUUUCUAGAGUCUAGAUCUUCAACCUCAAAUAGCCAAUUUAUUGUGAGAUGUCUCCAUAAAGAUGUUCUACAUAUUCUUCAAACACAGUAUUCCAAAAUACUCAUGCUUUCUCUUCUUUAGUCCCGUUCUCCUUUGUGAUCUGGUAUUCUGACUCAGGGAGUGGCUCUAUCACCCACCUAGUCAACUGAACUGGAAACCUGGAAAGUGUUCCUUCCUCUCAUAAAUCCCCUCCCUGCCCGACAGCACACUCUAAUACUCUCCUUUAUACAAGUCUUCAUUGCAAUGCCAUAUAGGUAACAUUAACUGUUUUUGUGCCUUUCUUCCCAGAGUGUUCCUAAAGAGUGAGGCACUAGCAUGGUACCUGAUCCACAGAAUAGUGCUAUGCAAGACUUUGGCUG
rnacentral:lncRNA from 10 species